UACUAACCAACCAUUUUGCCAUUAUGGGACAGAAGCCUACCAUACAUACAACAAUUAGAAGGAAAACGUAUAUUCCAGAUGACAGACUGAUAAACUGGACUUGGCGUGUUGCUCUUCCAAUGACCAGAGAUGAUGUGAUAAAGAAUAUCAGAGGAA
rnacentral:lncRNA from 1 species